rnacentral:rRNA from 1 species
AUUGAACGCUGGCGGCAGGCCUAACACAUGCAAGUCGAACGGUAACAGGGAUCAGCUUGCUGAUUCGCUGACGAGUGGCGGACGGGUGAGUAAUGUCUGGGAAACUGCCUGAUGGAGGGGGAUAACUACUGGAAACGGUAGCUAAUACCGCAUAACGUCGCCAGACCAAAGAGGGGGACCUUCGGGCCUCUUGCCAUCGGAUGUGCCCAGAUGGGAUUAGCUAGUAGGUGGGGUAACGGCUCACCUAGGCGACGAUCCCUAGCUGGUCUGAGAGGAUGACCAGCCACGCGGGAACUGAGACACGGUCCAGACUCCUGCGGGGGGCAGCAGUGGGGAAUAUGGCACAAGGGGCGAAAGCCUGAUGCAGCCAUGCCGCGUGUAUGAAGAAGGCCUUCGGGGUGUAAAGUACUUUCAGCGGGGAGGAAGGGAGUAAAGUUAAUACCUUUGCUCAUUGACGUUACCCGCAGAAGAAGCACCGGCUAACUCCG